GACGAACGCUGGCGGCGUGCUUAACACAUGCAAGUCGAGCGGUAAGGCCCUUUCGGGGGUACACGAGCGGCGAACGGGUGAGUAACACGUGGGUGACCUGCCCUCAGCUCUGGGAUAAGCCUGGGAAACCGGGUCUAAUACCGGAUAUGACUCCAUGACGCAUGUUGUGGGGUGGAAAGCCUUGUGCGGCUGAGGAUGGGCCCGCGGCCUAUCAGCUUGUUGGUGGGGUGAAUGGCCUACCAAGGCGACGACGGGUAGCCGGCCUGAGAGGGCGACCGGCCACACUGGGACUGAGACACGGCCCAGACUCCUACGGGAGGCAGCAGUGGGGAAUCUUGCGCAAUGGGCGAAAGCCUGACGCAGCGACGCCGCGUGAGGGAUGACGGCCUC
rnacentral:rRNA from 1 species